UAUAUAAACCCUUGGCUGGCAGGGACUAAGCAUAUUGCAGCAAUUGCAUCCAAUUCUCUCACAAUCACCAGCUGAAUUAUUUUAAGAAUAAUGUCUGGAGUAAAGGGACACCAGAAGAAAACCCCAGAGCCAUGUGCACCACCACCCCAACAGCACCAGGAUCCUUGUAAACCAGAGCCACAAUGUGAGGAACCCAUUCAACAAGUUUGCGAGCCUGAACCAGUGUGUGAACAACAAUGUCCUCCACCUCAGGAGAUAUGCACACAGUCUAGUCAAAAGAAGGACAACAUUGGUGUUAAGAAGUAAAACAAUGAACUCCUAAAGAUGGAACUAAAGCCUUGAAAUUUAUUAUGAUCUAUCUGCUGUACGGUUGCCCAUCAGAAAUGUAUUGAUUAAGUUAUAUAGUGAACUGAUGUAAAAAUGAUGCAAUUCAAUAAAUGAAGACACAUAUUAAA